UCGCACCUACCGAUUGAAUGAUCCGGUGAAGCCUCGGGAUUGUGGCCAGUGCCUUUACUGGUGUUGGUUGCGAGAACUUGUCUAAACCUUAUCAUUUAGAGGAAGGUG
rnacentral:rRNA from 1 species